GGGGUAUUAGCUCAGUUGGCUAGAGCGCUUGCAUGGCAUGCAAGAGGUCAGGGGUUCGACUCCCCUAUACUCCA
rnacentral:tRNA from 1 species